CGGCUGGGCCGCACCGCACCGCACGCAAGUUGGUCGUCUCGUCUCGUCUGGUUUCUUCAGUUCACCCAACGGGUCACCACCGCCCCAGAUCCAAACCCACCUUUAGCACGAGCCGAGGAGGAGAUCGAGAUGGAGCUGGAGGCGGGGGUGGGCGCGCCGUCGCCGGCGAGGUACCUGCUGGGGGCGGCGAUCAUGAUGGCCGGCGUGGUGCUGCCGCUGGCGUACAUGAUCUUCCGCAGCAAGCGCUCGCCGUCCUCCUCCUCCGCCGCCUCCGCCACCGGGCCCUCUUCCUUCUCCAAGCAGACGAACAAGGGGCUCAUCUGAUUUUGAUCUGCUUCUUCCCCAAUGGAGGUGUGACGGCCGGUAUUCAGUGAGUGGGUGGAUCGAUAGCGUCCACUGAUGCUUGUGUUUCUCUGUUCUGGCUUACCGAGAAUCAAUCUGCAACUGCUUCUUGAGACAGGGCAUCGUCAGAAACAUACCGUUACUAGCUGAUUUCCUGAUUAGUUAGCUCUUCUUGUAUCUCAGAGUGCUUGCUUGUUUGACUGAUUCGAUACACUUAUAAAUGAUGAAGAGGUUACUUUUUUUGCACCGUGACUACUUA